AUGACAGGCCCUUAGCAGCAGGCAGGGCUGAGCUGCCUCACCUGCAGGGACACCCCAAGUAUGACCUGUCACCACCAAAAAAUUAGGAAAAAAUGCCAAGACGACCUGCUCUAACACUCAGGCCAGCGGCCUCGGUGCCGUGGGCACAGAGCCCUCGCUGGGCUAAAUCUCCUUGCCUGUUCACGUGCUGCCAGUCCUCGUAUGCCAGCUGCCGUACUGUGCUAGAGUCCGGUCUCUAUGCAGGGAGAGUCUAUGCUUCACAGCAGAACGAACGGAAUCUGCUCUGCAGACCACAGGCCGCCUUGGGACCAUGCGAUGUAUUUGUUUUAACCGGCAACAUCUGACUACAAGAGUGUAUAGAGAACCGCGUGCUUCGCCAAUGGGGAAAUAAACCACAAGUGAUGAAGCUA